rnacentral:rRNA from 1 species
GAUUAACGCUGGCGGUAUGCCUAACACAUGCAAGUCGAACGGAAUACUAAUUAAGAGAAUCUCACACUAGUGAGAGGUUCUCACGAGUAGUAUUUAGUGGCGGACGGGUGAGUAACACGUUGGAACCUGCCCCGAAGUGGGGAAUAACUGCUCGAAAGAGUAGCUAAUACCCCAUAGUAUCCGGUUUAUCCGGAUUAAAGAUUUAUCGCUUCGGGAGGGGCCUGCGUCUGAUUAGCUAGUUGGUGAGGUAAAAGCUCACCAAGGCGACGAUCAGUAGCUGGUUCGAGAGGAUGACCAGCCACACUGGGACUGAGAUACGGCCCAGACUCCUACGGGAGGCAGCAGUCGAGAAUAGUCUACAAUGGUCGGAAGACUGAUAGUGCGACGCCGCGUGAACGAUGAAUCCCUUCGGGGUGUAAAGUUCUUUUAUAUGUGAGCAGUGCUUCUUAUAUUAACAGUAUGGGGAGAGAGAUAUUAGCAUAUGAAUAAGCAAC